rnacentral:rRNA from 1 species
AGGACGAACGCUGGCGGCGUGCUUAACACAUGCAAGUCGAGCGAUGAAGCUCUUCGGAAGUGGAUUAGCGGCGGACGGGUGAGUAACACGUGGGUAACCUGCCUCAUAGAGGGGAAUAGCCUUCCGAAAGGAAGAUUAAUACCGCAUAAGAUUGUAAUAUCGCAUGAUAUAGCAAUUAAAGGAGUAAUCCGCUAUGAGAUGGACCCGCGUCGCAUUAGCUAGUUGGUGAGGUAACGGCUCACCAAGGCGACGAUGCGUAGCCGACCUGAGAGGGUGAUCGGCCACAUUGGGACUGAGACACGGCCCAGACUCCUACGGGAGGCAGCAGUGGGGAAUAUUGCACAAUGGGGGAAACCCUGAUGCAGCCAACGCCGCGUGAGUGAUGACGGUCUUCGGAUUGUAAAGCUCUGUCUUCAGGGACGAUAAUGACGGUACCUGAGGAGGAAGCCACGGCUAACUACGUGCCAGCAGCCGC